rnacentral:tRNA from 1 species
ACAAUAGCUCAGUUGGUAGAGCAUCGGCUUCCCAAGCCGAGGGUCGCGGGUUCGAGUCCCGUUUGUC